UCUUGAAGAAUCUUUGAUCAUACAUGUCUAAAAUAAUGUUUUAACAUGGUUGAAAUGAGAUUGUAAUUUGUUCUCACACAAAUCCAUGUUUUGAGAUCAUUAUACCUUAGAAUAUUUCAUGUUUUGCACCUUUCUUUGGAUUUUCAAUAUGUAGGAAUCAAGCAUAAUUGACUCUUUAGCAUUGCUAGUCAUGUCACAACCCGGUACCCCCCUUGAGCCCGUGACAAAUGCCGUGACAUCUCGGUUGACAUUCGUUACCCAGAGUGCCAACCGGAACCUCGCAAGGCUUUAGUACCAUUUUUUUUUCAUCUCCCCUAUGAGUAAUCAUCGCCAAACCUCGUUUUUAAAGAAUUUUAAGCUUUUUCCCUUUCCAAACUGUGGAAAAAUAAUUUUCUCCUCACAGGGGCAUUUUCAUCAUUUUUCCUCGAAAUUUUUCGAACCCGACUAAAAAUGUAGUAGAUGAGUGGAAAACACAUAUUUCAUGAUUUAAAAUAAAGUUGGGUGUCUAAAACAUUUAUUGAAAAUGAUAUUGCAACUAUUUGAAUAAAAUAAAAAUAUUCAAUAAGAUAUUCUAAUUUCUUGUAAAACAAUAUUUAUAGAGUCAUCGGUAAAUAAUUUUUGUAAUGUAAAAGCUAAAUAAAUUCAUACGUACUAUAAUACAGAUAACCGAGAUAUGAAAUUUACUUUACAAUGACUCAUGGGCCCACAAGGAACAAAAGUGCACAAAGGCAGUAAACCUACAGUUUUUGGAGUAGUAAAGUCGACUAUAAUCCUUGACGAUAUCUGCUAUCCACAGGCUACCUCAGGCCUGAAAUGGUUGAAAAUGAGGGCGGUGAGAUUAUAAAUCCCAGUGAGUAAAUACAUAUCAUCUAAACCAUCUAAAGUUGAGUAAAUGGAGAUAGAUAAAAUAGUUUAACAUACUGAAAUUCAUCACCUUUUAACUUGUUUCAACCAAAUAAAAUCAAUUCAUAUAAAUCGAGUAAUUAACAUGGCUUAUGAAUUUUUUAAAACUUUGGCUCGUGCCAAAAUCAGUAUCAUACUCAAUCAUCAGGGAUACCUUGGCCGAGGGCUAUCCCAAACUGAGUCCGCCAAGGCUGUUAAAAAGUUAUGUACGCAUAAAUCAUGUUUUUAUUUUGAAAACAUAGCCGUUUCUUGGCGUUGGCCGAGUUCACCCUCACGUGGUGGUUGGGCGUGAAGUGAACUCUAAAGUUUGACCUCGGGAGUUACCCUACGCGCCUCUCUAAUUGAGGUACAUAUAUAUGACCAGGUUCCGUGCCCCUCUAAUAGGUUGGUCUACAGAACCAGCCCACUGCAACAAGCUAAACCCACCAUACAAUAAAAAUUCAACAACAUGAUAUGGCAAUUUUAUCAUUAUCCAGCUUAUCAAGGAAAACAACAGUUUAUACAUUUCAACACAAAUACCAAUUCAGCCAUUCAUGCAAAUAUUGUCAUAAGCCAAUAAAUUAAAACCAUAAAUUCACAAUACAUCAAAUGGUCUCCAAUUACUCUAUUUUCAAAGCCUUCAUUCAAUUUCAAGACCAUUUAUGAAAUCAUUUUGUUUAAACACAUUUUGUUUAUAAAACCUAAAAAUUUACCAUUUAAACUCAUUGUCCAUUAAAUCAAAAAAACAAAUAAAAACCACUCUAGAUAAUUAAGACGAUAGUAAGGUUACUCAUAGUACUAGGAGUUCGAUAUACUCCUAUUCCCGAUCUUCAGGCACAAUCUCUUUACUCUUGUUAGAGGGCUCACCACCUAUACAUCAUACGUGACACGAAUUUCAAUAAAUUGUGUCAAUUUAUCAUAAACUAUUUCAGGCUCUAUAAAUCUAUAUGAAUGCACGAAAUGUGAUGCAAAAUGUUCGAAUAACCACUUAAAUACGGUAUUCGACCUAAAUCGCACUAUUCUCGGUGUAAUUGGCUAAAACCUCCAAUUUAACUCCAAAUAGAUUUCUUUCACUUUCUACACUCCAAUUAUACUUAAAAUACCUCAAUGACUGUGAAUAUGAUUCAAUUUAUCAGUCCGAACCACAAAUCGCACAUGUCUAUACAUUAGGUAAAAAUUCAGAUUUUCAUGGCAAAAUUUCUCAUUAAAUUUCUAGCCUCACCAAUCAUUAAAUACCACCAAAAUAUCAUUAAAUAUCAUCAAUAUCAGCCUCAAUAUCCUCCCUAAAAAUUUGGCCUCUUGUGGGUUUGUGAAGAACAAAGUGAUUCCUUGCCAGAUUUUCAUACUUUCCAUUACCAAACAACCAAAAACACUUAAUUAGCUUGAAAUCUAGCAAAAUCAAUGCUCAAAACCUCUCCUCUCAAAUUCGGCCAGCAUGGGUUCAUCAUGCAAACUUGAGUUCUAAGCAUGGAAAAUGAAAAAGAAAGCAUGGGUAGUGUAAAUCACAAGAUAAAAUCACAAAAUUUUACCUUUAUUAGCUUAAUCCCUUGAAAUCCCACACUUUUUCUUCAAUUUUCCCACCUAGGGUUUGUGUUCUUUCCUUUCCUCUUCACUUCAUGCUUUGG
rnacentral:lncRNA from 1 species